rnacentral:rRNA from 1 species
GUAGGGAAUCUUCCACAAUGGGCGAAAGCCUGAUGGAGCAACGCCGCGUGUGUGAUGAAGGCUUUAGGGUCGUAAAGCACUGUUGUAUGGGAAGAAAUGCUAGAAUAGGGAAUGAUUCUAGUUCGACGGUACCAUACCAGAAAGGGACGGCUAAAUACGUGCCAGCAGCCGCGGUAAUACGUAUGUCCCGAGCGUUAUCCGGAUUUAUUGGGCGUAAAGCGAGCGCAGACGGUUGAUUAAGUCUGAUGUGAAAGCCCGGAGCUCAACUCCGGAAUGGCAUUGGAAACUGGUUAACUUGAGUGUUGUAGAGGUAAGUGGAACUCCAUGUGUAGCGGUGGAAUGCGUAGAUAUAUGGAAGAACACCAGUGGCGAAGGCGGCUUACUGGACAACAACUGACGUUGAGGCUCGAAAGUGUGGGUAGCAAACAGGAUUAGAUACCCCUGUAGUCC